rnacentral:rRNA from 1 species
UGAGGAAUAUUGGUCAAUGGCCGAGAGGCUGAACCAGCCAAGUAGCGUGAAGGAUGACCGCCCUAUGGGUUGUAAACUUCUUUUAUAAAGGAAUAAAGUCACCUACGUGUAGGUGUUUGUAUGUACUUUAUGAAUAAGCAUCGGCUAACUCCGUGCCAGCAGCCGCGGUAAUACGGAGGAUGCGAGCGUUAUCCGGAUUUAUUGGGUUUAAAGGGAGCGCAGACGGGCUGUUAAGUCAGCUGUGAAAUGCCGCGGCUCAACCGUGGACCUGCAGUUGAUACUGGCGGCCUUGAGUGCGGUUGAGGCAGGCGGAAUUCGUGGUGUAGCGGUGAAAUGCUUAGAUAUCACGAAGAACCCCGAUUGCGAAGGCAGCCUGCCAAUCCGUUACUGACGUUCAUGCUCGAAGGUGCGGGUAUCAAACAGGAUUAGAUACCCUGGUAGU